rnacentral:tRNA from 1 species
GUUCUUGUAGUUGAAGCACAACGAGGGUUUUUCAAGUCGUUGGUCCGGGUUAGAGUCCCGGCAAGAAUU